rnacentral:rRNA from 1 species
GAUAAACGCUGGCGGCGUGCCUAAUACAUGCAAGUCGAGCGAACGGACGAGAAGCUUGCUUCUCUGAUGUUAGCGGCGGACGGGUGAGUAACACGUGGAUAACCUACCUAUAAGACUGGGAUAACUUCGGGAAACCGGAGCUAAUACCGGAUAAUAUUUUGAACCGCAUGGUUCAAAAGUGAAAGACGGUCUUGCUGUCACUUAUAGAUGGAUCCGCGCUGCAUUAGCUAGUUGGUAAGGUAACGGCUUACCAAGGCAACGAUGCAUAGCCGACCUGAGAGGGUGAUCGGCCACACUGGAACUGAGACACGGUCCAGACUCCUACGGGAGGCAGCAGUAGGGAAUCUUCCGCAAUGGGCGAAAGCCUGACGGAGCAACGCCGCGUGAGUGAUGAAGGUCUUCGGAUCGUANAACUCUGUUAUUAGGGAAGAACAUAUGUGUAAGUAACUGUGCAUAUCUUGACGGUACCUAAUCAGAAAGCCACGGCUAACUACGUGCCAGCAGCCGCGGUAAUACGUAGGUGGGCAGCGUUAUCCCGGAUUUAUUGGGCCGUAAGCGCGCGUAGGCGGUUUUUUAAGUCUGAUGUGAAAGCCCACGGCGUCAAUCGUGGAGGGUCAUUGGAAACUGGAAAACUUGAGUGCAGAAGAGGAAAGUGGAAUUCCAUGUGUAGCGGUGAAAUGCGCAGAGAUAUGGAGGAACACCAGUGGCGAAGGCGACUUUCUGGUCUGUAACUGACGCUGAUGUGCGAAAGCGUGGGGAUCAAACAGGAUUAGAUACCCUGGUAGUCCACGCCGUAAACGAUGAGUGCUAAGUGUUAGGGGGUUUCCGCCCCUUAGUGCUGCAGCUAACGCAUUAAGCGCUCCGCCUGGGGAGUACGACCGCAAGGUUGAAACUCAAAGGAAUUGACGGGGACCCGCACAAGCGGUGGAGCAUGUGGUUUAAUUCGAAGCAACGCGAAGAACCUUACCAAAUCUUGACAUCCUUUGACAACUCUAGAGAUAGAGCCUUCCCCUUCGGGGGACAAAGUGACAGGUGGUGCAUGGUUGUCGUCAGCUCGUGUCGUGAGAUGUUGGGUUAAGUCCCGCAACGAGCGCAACCCUUAAGCUUAGUUGCCAUCAUUAAGUUGGGCACUCUAAGUUGACUGCCGGUGACAAACCGGAGGAAGGUGGGGAUGACGUCAAAUCAUCAUGCCCCUUAUGAUUUGGGCUACACACGUGCUACAAUGGACAAUACAAAGGGCAGCGAAACCGCGAGGUCAAGCAAAUCCCAUAAAGUUGUUCUCAGUUCGGAUUGUAGUCUGCAACUCGACUACAUGAAGCUGGAAUCGCUAGUAAUCGUAGAUCAGCAUGCUACGGUGAAUACGUUCCCGGGUCU